rnacentral:rRNA from 1 species
UACGGAGGGGGCUAGCGUUGUUCGGAAUUACUGGGCGUAAAGCGCACGUAGGCGGCUUUGUAAGUUAGAGGUGAAAGCCCGGAGCUCAACUCCGGAAUAGCCUUUAAGACUGCAUCGCUUGAACAUCGGAGAGGUAAGUGGAAUUCCGAGUGUAGAGGUGAAAUUCGUAGAUAUUCGGAAGAACACCAGUGGCGAAGGCGGCGCUCUGGCUCGCAACUGACGCUCAGACACGACAGCAUGGGGAGCGAACGGG